AGUGAACGCUGGCGGUAGGCUUAACACAUGCAAGUCGAGCGGCAGCACAGUAAGAGCUUGCUCUUACGCGUAGCGAGUAGCAGACGGGUGAGAAAUACAUCGGAAUCUACUUUUUCGUGGGGGAUACCGUAGGGAAACUUACGCUAAUACCGCAUACGACCUACGGGUGAAAGCAGGGGUUCUUCGCACCUUGCGCGAUUGAAUGAGACGAUGUCGGAUUAGCUAGUUGGCGGGGUAAAGGCCAACCAAGGCGACUAUCCGUAGCUGGACAGCGAGGAUGAUCAGCGACCCUGGAACUCAGACACGGACCCGACGCCUACGGGACGCAGCAGAGUGCAACAUUAGACAGUGGGCGCAAGCCUUGUCCAGCCAUCCCGCGUGGGUGACGAAGGCCUUCGGUUUGUAAAGCCCUUUUGUUGGGAAAGAAAAGCAGCAGGUUAAGACGCCGCUGUUCUGACGGUACCCGAAGAAUAAGCACCGGCUAACUUCGUG
rnacentral:rRNA from 1 species